rnacentral:rRNA from 1 species
CAAAUUUUAAAUCUACCUGGUUUCCAGGUCGAGUUGUAAUUUGAAGAAGUGUUUUUUACUUUCCGGGUUGGGUUAAAUCCUUUGGGAUAAGGUAUCAUGGAGGGUGAGAAUCCCGUGUAUACCAACCGCAGGAUYGUUUAAUAUACACUUUCUAAGAGUCGAGUUGUUUGGGAAUGCAGCUCUAAAUGGGUGGUAAAUUUCACCUAAUGCUAAAUAUAAGCGAGAGACCGAUAGCGAACAAGUACCGUGAGGGAAAGAUGAAAAGAACUUUGAAAAGAGAGUUAAAUAGUACGUGAAAUUGUUGAAAGGGAAACGGUUGAAGUCAGUCAUGCCGGCGGGAAUCAACUUAGGGGAAACUCUGAGUGCACUUCUUCGCUUGGCAGGUUAGCGUCGAUUUUGGAUGUCAUAAAAUGACUGGGGGAAGGUAGCUCUUUCGGGAGUGUUAAGCCCUURGUAGAUGUGAUGUCCGGGAUCGAGGAUUGCAACGGAUACCUUUUGGGCUAACCGCCUAGUCUCUAAUACGAAGUUGGGUUAUGGACAGCACGCUGACUGUGAUCUGAUUUUCGGUUAAA